UACGUAGGGGGCAAGCGUUGUCCGGAUUCAUUGGGCGUAAAGAGCGUGUAGGCGGCCUGAAAGGUCAGCUGUGAAAACUCGAGGCUCAACCUCGAGACGUCGGGUUGAAACCAUCUGGCUAGAGUCCGGAAGAGGAGUGUGGAAUUCCCGGUGUAGCGGUGAAAUGCGCAGAUAUCGGGAAGAACACCCGUGGCGAAGGCAAUCCCCUGGGCCUGCACUGACGCUCAUGCACGAAAGCGUGGGGAGCAAACAGG
rnacentral:rRNA from 1 species